rnacentral:tRNA from 1 species
UUGUUGGUAGCUCAGCUGGUAAAGCAUCCGCCUGCCAUGCGGGAGACCCCAGGUUGAUCUCUGGGUCAGGAAU